rnacentral:rRNA from 1 species
UAAUAUCUCGUUCUGCAUACUAUUUAUAUACAAACCAUUGCUCACAAAGAAAAAGGAUUUUACACACCGAAAUGCUUCUUCAUCCACGCGGCGUCGCACUAUCAGAGUUUCCUCCAUUGUAGACUAUUCUCGA